CGAUGGAGGACGACCAGUUCACGACGGCGCAGAUGGGCCCGCGAUUUCGGCCGAUGUGGAGGAAGGAGGCCAUGUUGGCGCUGGACUCUAGGUUCACAAGCAUGAUGACGGACCAAAGAAGCUCGAGAACUCCAUGCUGCAUUGCUAUCUCAACCAAGAGGACUUGGUGGAGGAAGGAAAGGAGGAAGAGAAGAAGGAGAAACCGAGUAACAUGUUUGUCCUGAUCACCAUAAAAAAACAGGUUUGUCCUGAUCAUUCAACUCCUCCAUCUGUUUCUCAAAAAUCUUUACUACGCCUGCCUAAGAUUGUAGAAGAUUUGCCAAUGUAAGUUUCUGAUUUGGCUCAAAGAUGUUGAGCUACUUUUCUUAUUUCUAGAAGUCCUUGAGAAUCAUGUCUGGUCACUCAUCCUCUCGUAUAAAGCCCGACAUCAACUGAAUCGGCUGAAUCAGUUGUUGUAUUUCCGUUAUCUGAUUAAUCAAAACAAGGAAUGCCCCGUCUCUCAAAAAAGGCUUACCAUGGAUCAAAUAAGACGUGUGAAUUGUAACUCUAACCUCUCGAAUGUAUACCAUCUAUAAUGAACAUAUAUGUUGGAUAAAUUGUUUUGCAUAAUUGCAUUCCCUUAUUUGCUCCAUAUUUGGAUCUCUUUUAUUAACUGUAAGGUUGACGAUAUGGGUUGUUUUUUUCUAAUUGCAGUGGUGGAUAAUUUAUAGUAGUAGGUAUGUAGGGGUAUUUUUAGAUUAGUUUUUUAGUGAUAGUGGUGGGUUAUUUUUAAUACAUGAUAUAGAUGGGGUUGUUUCAGGUUAGUUUUUUAUGAGUGCAAUAGUGGUUAAUAUGAUUUUGGGUGCUUCCAUUGUUGGCUAAGGAUUAAUAUUUCAUUUCAUAGUACAGUUAGUACCAGUGGCGUAGACAAGGCGGCUAGCAGCCCCCAAGAUUUUUUUUGCUUGUAUAUCUACGGUUAAAAUAAGAGGGUUAGUUUAUAAUAAGUUAAAAUUUAUUAUGUACUCAUUGCAUACAUGUGUUAAUUGUUAUGACUAGCGAUGAUAUAUUCUAUUUACUGGUAUUAUAUAUAAGGUUGGUCCUUCCUAAAGGGAAAUUUUGGUUAUGCCUCUUAUCAGUACAAUAGUGGUGGUGGUGGCUACAAUAGUUAGAUAGUUACAGGGUAUUUUAGGUUUUCUUAGAUAUUGGAAAUAGUAUGUAAUUUAUAAAUAAACAUCGAGGUGCUUUGGGUUAAGUUCUCAUAAUAGUGCUGGCAGUAUUAAAUUUUUUCAUAGAUUAAAAUCAGUGAUUUUGAUUGUUAAGGUUUCAUUUGCAGGCCAAUUCAGUUACUACGAUGUUUAUUCAUUCGGUAAAAAUGUACACAUCAUCGAUGUGUUUCAAUAUUAAUACUUCGUCGCAGCUCUAGCCUCCUACAUAGCAGUCAACCAGUAGACAUUUCUACUCGAAUGCUCCACAAUGGCCUCCUACAUCGGUAGAGAUGCAAGGUAUCAUUGACCAUGGUUGGACGGUGACAUUUUCAGGCAUGUUCUGCACAAAAACGCUAAUGAAGACGUACCAAUGGGAUUUUGGUUCAUCGGAUUGGACGUCGAUGAUCGCCGUCUUUGCUGCAGCAAGCCACCGGGUAUACCUGACGCCUUUGUGCUUGUUUGUUUAGCAUACUAGACUUAGUUGCUUCCAAGUUCCAACUCUGUCGGCGGUUGGUCUUUUGCAUGCAGCGUGCAUGAUCUGUUUGUAUGAAUUAUUUCGGGAAAUGAGACUAUUUCGGGUAGUUGAUGGUCACCUUGACACCUUCAGAGAGUAGGUGUGCCAUCAGCUGUCAGUACCAUGUGCUUGUCAACAUUGUUUGUGUUGGCCAUCUUCAUAGUCUGUCAUGACAUGAGACAUCUAAACUUUCCUUUUGAGUGUUACACCUAUGGCGUGAUUGAAUCUGAAGCUGCCAAUAGCCCCACCAAAAUGAAGAAACAUUUUACCCGAGAAUCAUAGUGGCAAAGACGCAUCAUGCGCAAGACCAGCGAAGCUGUCAGCUGAAACGGUUCCUUGCCUAACAUGCACUAGCUUCAAUUUGAUGUGAAUGGAUUAGAGUAAUUCCGGCCACAUUCUGUGGUCCGUUUGAGCUGAUUGUGCUUGGCAAACUCGUGCAGACUGUGAAUGGAAAGACGCAGGUAGGAACAUGUGUGUUGCAUCCUUCCACUGGAGUUGCAGUGGCAUCUGCAAAUCUGCUGAUUGGAUCGGGAAAGUCCAUCAACGCUGCGGUGGGAGUGAGAAUGCACUUUUGGGCUGUGAUUCUAUUGCAAUGACAUCUGUAACUGAUAAGAAAGCUAAGAUGGAGAGUUUAAUAUCUUCUGCGACCUUUGUGGAGGGUGGCAUUUAGGAGGCAUGUGGUGAUGCAUGGAACAUUUGCCUUGAGGUUUUCUAUGAGAGUGACCCUUCUGCAGUGAGUAGCCAUUUUGUUAGUUGAGCUAUUUUGCAUAUAAAUGUUAUUUCUGUAACCAAUUACUUAGAGUUCGAAGUGUUUUUCUUAUGCAGGUUUGGUGUAUCCUUCUCAGUGACAAAGUACCUUUUAAAAUGCACUGCCCUUUACACUCUGACAUGCAAGACAAUGAUAUAUGCAUUGGCUUAUUAUGUAUAGUGAGUCAUAUUUUGAUAGGUUUUUGGUACAGACUUAUUUAGUUAAAAACCUGUAGUGACGUCUGUUUGAUUUUUUACAAUAUGUACAAGAUUGGAAGAUCCUCUUUAUUUUUUUGUUCUUCUUUAUGAGUUGAUUGUCACAACAUAAA